rnacentral:rRNA from 1 species
GACAGAGGGUGCAAACGUUGUUCGGAAUUACUGGGCGUAAAGCGCGUGUAGGCGGCUUCGCAAGUCGGGUGUGAAAUCCCACGGCUCAACCCGUGGAAGUGCAUUCGAAACUGCGAGGCUAGAGUCCUGGAGAGGAAGGUGGAAUGCUUGGUGUAGAGGUGAAAUUCGUAGAUAUCAAGCGGAAACACCGGUGGCGAAGGCGGCGACCUGGUCCGUGACUGACGCUGAGGCGCGAAAGCGUGGGGAGCGAACAGG